AUGGACCAUGUCACAAAGCUCGAAUAAUUUCAAAUUGGUUUCUUGAACAUGACAAUGAGUUCACUGUACUAAAAUGGCCCCCACAAUCACCAGAUCUCAACCCAAUAGAACAUCUUUGGGAUGUGGUGGAAUGGGAGCUUCGUGCCCUGGAUGUGCAUCCCACAAAUCUCCAUCAACUGCAAGAUGCUAUCUUAUCAAUAUGGGCCAACAUUUUUAAAGAAUGCUUUCAGCACCUUGUUGAAUCAAUGCCACAUAGAAUUAAGGCAGUUCUGAAGGUGAAAGUGGGUCAAACACAUUAUUAGUAUGGUGUUCCUAAUCCUUUAGGUGAGUGUAUUUACUGCAUUGUUUGAAGUUAAAGCCCAAUAAGCAUUGCAUUUACCAUGCGUUUACCAUGCGUUUACUACAGUAACUGUAGAUUUAGUGUGUUAUUUGUAGUUAAAGCCUAGUAAACACAACCCGUAUCGUCCUGCUACUAUAGUAAAGUUAUUUCUGUUGUGGUACAUGUGCUUAAUGCAUAGUACCAAACCCUUUUUUUAGUAAACACAACCCUUCCAAUGCCUUACAAUGGUAGGUCUACUGUGGUAUAUGGUACAGUAAGCAUUGCAUAUAUGCUUUUAGCACAGUAACUGUACUAAUUUGCUGUAUUCAGUUAAAGCACAGAAACACAAACCCUUGCCAUGGUUUAAACACAGUCACUGUAGUUUAGCCUUUUAAUUUGUAAUAAAAGCUGCGCUAUCACAACACCUACCUAUCUUUUAAUACCUUUCAUGUCCAAUCAUUGUUUUUGUCUUGCAGUUACUCCAUAUCAGUCAUUUGAUGGACAGUGGGCAGCCAAAUAAAAAAGAUGGCAAUUUCUGCAAAAUUAUUAAUUCUGUAGACUUGCUUCUCCACAAGUUGGAAAUACUUGGUGUCUUACCAAUGCUAUUUAUAACGUUGCAGAGAGGCCUACACCACUCUACCAAAAUUUAAGGUUGCCCCUCUAGAGUCAGUUGCCCCACCACUAUGGUCAGAGACCCCACCAUUGUAGCCGAAGACCCCGCCUCUCCUGUCAGCGACCCCACAACUGUGGCCAGAGACCCUGCCAUUACCAUCAGAGGCCCCACCACUACAAUCAGUCAGCAUUCCCGCCACUGUGGCCAGAGACUCCACCACUACCAUCAGAGGCCCUGCGACUACUGUCAGCAACCCCGCCACUGAAUAUACCACGGCUUUUGUAAAUUCCUUUUUUUUUAUAUUGGUAGUUGCUAAAUUAAAUCCACUCUAGUUUACUGGUUAUUGGUUAUUUAAUUGUUCAUGGACCCCAUUCACUUCCAUGGUAGGACAAAAGAAUACUAUGAAAGUAAAUGAAUGGUUUGGUUACAAACAUUUCUCAAAAUAUCUUCCUUUGUGUUCAUCAGAACAAAGAAGUUUAUACAGGUUUGUAACAUGUGAUGGAGGAGAACUAGCCCUCCCCGCUGGGUAAUCAUUACUGGCAACCACACACACACACAUACACACAUCGCAUUCACUUACCUCUCAUAAUCCAUCCC